CAAGACAACUUUGCACAGUUGACGAUUGACGGAGCGGAGCGACGUCAAAGCGUUUUACAACGUUGAGUUGGCUUAGGGAUACGUUCGUUGGGUAGGGGAGCGUUCUGUAAGCCUGCGAAGGUGUGCUGUGAGGCAUGCUGGAGGUAUCAGAAGUGCGAAUGCUGACAUAAGUAACGAUAAAGCGGGUGAAAAGCCCGCUCGCCGGAAGACCAAGGGUUCCUGUCCAACGUUAAUCGGGGCAGGGUGAGUCGACCCCUAAGGCGAGGCCGAAAGGCGUAGUCGAUGGGAAACGGGUUAAUAUUCCCGUACUUGGUGUUACUGCGAAGGGGGGACGGAGAAGGCUAUGUUGGCCGGGCGACGGUUGUCCCGGUUUAAGCGUGUAGGUGUGUGUUCCAGGUAAAUCCGGUUCACUUUAACACUGAGGCGUGAUGACGAGGCACUACGGUGCUGAAGCAACAAAUGCCCUGCUUCCAGGAAAAGCCUCUAAGCAUCAGGUAACACGAAAUCGUACCC
rnacentral:rRNA from 1 species